AUGGAUGAAAGUGCCACCUUGAUCGGGCAUUGAACGUGGUCGGUGGGAUUUUCGUCCGUCU
rnacentral:pre_miRNA from 1 species